CCCAGACUCCUACGGGAGGCAGCAGUGGGGAAUAUUGCACAAUGGGGGGAACCCUGAUGCAGCGACGCCGCGUGGGUGAAGGAGCACCUCGGUGCGUAAAGCCCUAUCGGCAGGGAAGAAACAGACGGUACCUGACUAAGAAGCCCCGGCUAACUACGUGCCAGCAGCCGCGGUAAUACGGAGGGGGCGAGCGUUAAUCGGAAUUACUGGGCGUAAAGCGCUCGUAGGCGGUAUGUCAAGUCAAGGGUGAAAUCCCCGCGCUCAACGUGGGAACUGCCUUUGAAACUGGCAAACUGGAGUGUGUGAGAGGAUAGUGGAAUUCCAGGUGUAGGAGUGAAAUGCGUAGAGAUCGGGAGGAACACCAGUGGCGAAGGCGGCCUACUGGGCUUUAACUGACGCUGAAGCACGAAAGCGUGGGUAGCAAACAGGAUUAGAUCCCCUCGUA
rnacentral:rRNA from 1 species